rfam:Cephalotus follicularis DNA, scaffold: scaffold1922, isolate: St1.
AGGAGCAACCAUAUCAGUACUGAUGCACGGGAUUCCAUCAGAACUUCGAAGUUAAGCGUGUUUGGACGAGAAUGGUUUAAGACAAGCUUUGUCACAUGGCUUUCA